UCAAAAUUUUAGGGUUUGAAAACGAUUUGGGUAUAAAAUGAUUUGGGGAUUUGGGGAUUGCGUCGUUUCAAUCGAUUUGUUCUUACGGGUUCAAAACCCAUUUUGGUUCCGAUCGAUUUAGGGUUUUGAAAACCCAAGUUUCUUCCUUUCGAUUUAAGUUCCAUUCGAUUUACGAUUUGGGUUGUUCUUGUUUGUUCUUACGGUUUCAAAAUCGCAAUUUUCUCCAUUCGAUUUAGGGUUUCAAAAUCCCAAGUUUGUUCCUUUCGAUUUUGGUUCGAUUCUAUUUACGAUUUGGGGUUCUUCUCGUUUCUUCUUAUACGGAUUAAAAUUCAAUUUUAUUACGAAUUCAAAUUCAUUGAUGGUUCCAUUACAUUUACGGUUUUCACAAAGUCUCGGUCGAUAAGUUUGUCUGUCUUUUUCGAUAAGUUUGUGUGUCUUUUUCUGUUUCAAAAUCCAUGCUAAUUUGUGCUCUUUGUUUCUCUCUUUCGUUGAUCUAAUGCUCUGUGAAUAUUAUUUCUUGCAGGUUAACAAAAAUGGGACAAUAUAGCUACAGCCACCCGUCCUCAUCAUCAGAGGACUUGGACAUAACCUCACUUCUCGAAGCAGAAGCUCAGUUGUACGGGGAUGAAACUCAGAGUAGCUUCGAUAUGGCAGAGCCGGUUCAGUACCAACCUCAACCUGAGGCUGAUGAUGGAAUCCCGACGACAUGCUACUGUGGGGGUGAGCCGGUUGUUGCAACAGCCUACACUGAGAAAGAUCACAUCUGGAAGUGGUGGGAUGUCGCGGUCAUGGACGAGAUGAGGGACUUUCAGACACAGCUAAGGCGGCUUAAGGAAGAAGGUACUGAGAGUGAGCAGAAGCUGCUGCUGCUAGAGAACAUUGUAUAUGAGUUAGGAAAGGAGAAUUCACGAGUUAAGCUAAUGGUGUGCCUAUUAGUUUUAAUAGGUUUUGUAUUCUUGGUUCUGCGUGGUAAGUUAAACUCUUUGUGCUUUUCAUAAUUGAUUAUGCAAUAGUAUUAUAACAUUUGACUUCUUUAUGUUAUGUGUUUGCAGGAGUAGCUUCAAAGGCUUCAGACGGGAGUGUGUUAUCACCUCACGAGUGGCUGUAUAAGUAAGGUACGAUGCUUUUUACCACUUCACAGUGUAUUUUCUAUAUUCUAUAUUGGUUGAAUGGUAUUUAUUGGUUGAAUAAAAGCUAAUAAGAAUGUAUUAAUGUGAUCGUGUUAAUAAAUGCUAGUGAACGGCUACAAGUUCACCCUGGAUCACUGUUGGAGGGAGCUGAGGCAUGACCAGAAAUGGUUGUCCACCUAUGUGGCUAAGGAUGGUGGAAAGGAAAAGCGGAGGCAAGUGUUGGAGGUUGAUAGAGAAGAAGAGGACGUGGGAGAACCAGAGGCUAGACCUAUCGGGGUAAAGGCUGCGAAAGCUGGCAGUAAGAAGAAGAAGAGGUGUUGUCAAAGCUACACGGCGUGUUAGAACUGAAGGAAAAACUCUCUAGGCAUAAAGUCCUUGAUCGCUUGCUCGCGAAGAAAGAGCCACUGUCUGAGAUGGAAACAUCGCUAAAACUCAAGCUAAUGUCUGAAAUGUUAUGAUGUGUUGUUUGAGGUUGUGUUUACUUACUCAGUACUUGCUUAGUAGUUGCUUGAUAAUGUGUGUAAAGUGUGUAAUGUGUUGUUUCAGGUUGUGCAUUACAGCUAUACUAACUGUUGUGUAAUAUGUUGUUUAAGGUUAAUGUCAAGAUGUCACGGGAGAAGAGGAGUUGUCAAAGUCUUUUGGUCUUUAGCUAAGGUGAAGUUGUCACGGGUGCCUUUGGAGAUGUGAAAGCAUUUUGGUCUGUAGCUUAUGUGAACAAGUCACUUUAUGUAGUAUAAGUACUAGGCAUGCAUCUAUUUAGCUUUGUAUCUCGUUCUCCUUGUUUCCUCAUUAUCAAAACUUGCAUCACCUUUUCUCUUUGUAUGAUAUCGAAGAGGCUUGUAAUAUUUUCUACCAAGAAGUUGAUCCUCUUGAUUCUCUUUAUAACCAUCCGAUCAUACUGUUUUACUUCUGUUCAAGAAGCAACCCGAAAAAAUGUGGAGCGGGCUUUUGGAGUACUACAAUCCCGGUUUGCGAUUGUGAAAAACCCGGCUCUUUCAAUGAACAAAGUAAAGAUAGGGAAGAUUAUGAGAGCAUGUAUCAUACUACACAAUAUGAUAGUCGAAAAUGAACGAGAUGAAUACAUUCGUUACGAUAUAUCUGAAUUUGAAGAAGGAGACGACACCAGAAGUUCAGAGGUCGAAACCGAGAGGCCUACAAAUCUGAAUAAUAUGUUUCCCAAUCGGAAUGAUCUUCGUGAUAGGCAUAUGCAUGAACGAUCGAAGAAUGAUUUAAUCGAAAAUAUUUGGAACAAAUUUGGUGAUGAAGAUUAAUAAUUAGUUUAUAUUUAUAUUUAAUCAUUGUAUCUUUAUUUUUAAUCAAUG